rnacentral:rRNA from 1 species
AUUGAACGCUGGCGGAAUGCUUUACACAUGCAAGUCGAGCGGCAGCGCGGGGGCAACCCUGGCGGCGAGCGGCGAACGGGUGAGUAACAUAUCGGAACGUACCCCGUCGUGGGGGAUAACACAGCGAAAGCUGUGCUAAUACCGCAUACGACCUGAGGGUGAAAGCGGGGGAUCGCAAGACCUCGCGCGAUGGGAGCGGCCGAUAUCGGAUUAGCUUGUUGGUGAGGUAAAGGCUCACCAAGGCGACGAUCCGUAGCUGGUCUGAGAGGACGACCAGCCACACUGGAACUGAGACACGGUCCAGACUCCUACGGAGGCAGCAGUGGGGAAUUUUGGACAAUGGGGGCAACCCUGAUCCAGCCAUUCCGCGUGAGUGAAG